ensembl:lncRNA
GGAGCUUCCUGAGACAGCAGAUCAACAGCACGGUGGAGUUAGCCCCCUUGUUUGUGCCUUGGGAACGCAGGCUGCAAACAUUCAUGGUCCUGCAGUGGGUCAGCUGUUUCCUGGCCAUGGGUGUUAUAAGGAGAAAGAAGGGAGCGUCCUUUCUCAAGGACUGGAAAUACUCCCAAGUUUGGCAUUGCCUGCUGACAGGAGUUAAAAUGCCUCCUGUUUGCAAGAUUCUGGAUCUUCAGUAUCCUGUAUGCGAUCUGGUGGUAUGUGGAUCGAGCCAAGCCUUGGCAGGGGGGCAGGCAGAGUGAUGUGCUAAGGCACCGGGUCAUAUGGAGGUACAUGAAGGACUGUUUCCCCAUCUCGG